UAUCUAUGGAAUUGAGCCGUGUAGAAUGUGAUGGAAAAGGGAAGCAAUAUGGACAAUCGCCAUACAUUAGUAAGUGCCUGAUACUUCAGUCUACAUAAUAAGUGCCAUUUGUUGGAGUCAGCAAACCCCUUUAAGACGGACGUUUCUACUGAUGUUUAUAUAGCUAUGUAGUCAGAAUGUUCAAGUGUUAAAUGCUCCGCUCGGAUGACAUUGUAUUUUUUGUGCCAUUUUUGUCUUUUUUUUUCUCUGUUACCAUAUGAUUGAUAAAGAAAGGUACGAUAUUACCAAAAAAAGUGUUUGUUACCCCAAAAAAAGUAUUGCACUCAUUUCUAGGCACUGCUGUCUCAUGGGUGACAUACAGCACAGGUUAUCAUCACAUGUAGCAGAGCUGCUUUUAUGCUGCCUUAUCUUGUGGAAAAACACAAGUAAAAGCAUUGUCCAGAGGAAUAAAGGGUUUGUUCUCUCAGGAAACAGCGCCACUCUAGUCCAUGGGAAGGGUCUGGAAUUGCAGCUCUGAAUCCGUACUGCAAUACCAGUCGCAGCCAUGGACUAGAGUGGCGCUGUUUCUGGAGAUACUUUUUUUUUAUGUAAUCCUGGACAAGGUUCUACUGUGUGGUACCAACUGACAGUCAGCUCUGCUGUAUCUGGAUAAUAGUACAGGUUUUGGGAUGCAGUGUUUCUUUGAUGCUACCUAUUGAACUGGGAUCCUGGUGGGCACACGUUUAAAUGAUGGUUAUGUUUUACGUUAUUUAUUGCUAUUGUAUAUCCGCUUCUGGGUUCACUACUUUACCCCUAAAGAGGACCUGUCACCUCUCCUGCCCUCCUGUCUGGCACAUCUACUCUUUGAACUCUGCAUUGUGCUGUUCCUCUGCUAUCCCUCCUUGAAAUUUAUGGGUAAAUGAACAACCGGGUGUGACCAUUACCAUUGCCGAAGGAGUGUUACCCUGAACAGUGUUAGCGCUGAUUAGACAUUGAACCAUUAGAAAUAACGGGUACACUGCAGAAUUCUAAGAGAAGAUGCUUCGGAAUUGUUACUUUAUGAAAAAUGUACCUGUAUCUAAGACAGAUAUGUCGGGAAGGGGGGGUGACAGGCCCUCCUUAAAGGAUUGUCUUGAAUCGGGUGUGCACAGAGACAAAACCUAAAGAGUUUCUCCACUUAAAUAAUUUUUCGGAAAAAUCUGAUUACUAGUGCAAGCUGGGACGGAGAACCUACCCUUCCAUUGCUUUUUAUUUAGUGUUACAUCUGACAGACUAGUUGCUAGGGAUACACUGCAUAACAACCACCGUUUUGACAGGACAGCACAUCCAUAGCAACCAGUCUGCCCUUGAUUGCUCUGGUUUUUAGUCCAGAGUAGGUUUACCACCUUCCUGACCAGUAGUCACCGCAGUGCCCCCACCUCUGCUGUAGUACAAAUUAUGCCCCCCCCCCCCCCCCCACUUCUCUAGUAGCGCCUCCCAACUCUUUUCCAAGUAUUUAAAUCUGGCUCCCUCCCUAGUAGUCAUGGCCGACCCCAUUGCCCCCUAGUAGUCACAACCUCCCAAGCCAGCUUCUAGGAGUCACAGCAAAUACCUCAUGUCCAGGCAGUGCGCCUUCUGCUGGAUGGAAGCUAUACACGAGCAGCCUGUUGCAUGAAGUUUCCUGUAGUCUCUGCUAGCGAAGGGGAAAUGUUUAGUGGGUCUUGUUUUGGGGUCUUAUUUUUUUUUUUCUCCGCCCUUUAUAAGGGGAAAGAACAUAGAAUACAGAGGUGUGACCAGUAUAAAAGCUGCUAUUAUUGUUACCCAUUUCGCAUUGAUACAGAGGCGGACGCCUCGUUCCGUACAUGUAGGACCAUACAGCGAUAUGCCGUCCAUAUCUACGAUGAACGGCAAUUUCAUGAACCAGUGAUUAAAUUCCAGGACGUUUUCCGUCGGAGCCGCCGCGACCCUAGGAUACGUAAUUUAGUGCGCAGAUAGUGAGCGGUAACUCUGCAAGUACUUUUAGCUUUCAGUGAAUGAAUGUAGUAGUGUGACUUAUACACUAGUCACCUCCAGAGCUGAACUCCGCAUUCUGCUGCCUGCUUCUUGGCGUUUAUUAUUAGUGUCUAUCUGCUAUAAGCGUUCACAUCACGUUUUUCCCAUCCGUUUAACGUAUACAAAAAACAUAUGUGUUAACAGAUUCCUCAGACUGAUGUCAUACAGGGGCAUCUAUUCACCAUAGAGUUCCAUUGUAAAAAAAA